rnacentral:rRNA from 1 species
UACGUAGGGGACGAGCGUUGUCCGGAAUUACUGGGCGUAAAGGGCGCGUAGGCGGUUGCUCAAGUCCGUAGUGGAAGUCCAGCUUUCAAGGUUGGAAGUGCUAUGGAAACUGAGCAACUUGAGUGCAGGAGAGGUUAUCGGAAUUCCCGGUGUAGCGGUGAAAUGCGUAGAGAUCGGGAGGAACACCAGUGGCGAAGGCGGGUAACUGGACUGCAACUGACGCUGAGGCGCGAAGGUGUGGGGAGCAAACAGGAUUAGAUACCCCGGUAGUCCCUGAG